UUUUGCCUCCGACGAUCUCCAACCCCGAGCCGACCUGCCAAUACUAAAGAAAUGUAGAGGAUGGGUAAGCUUUAUGCUUAGUAAGUUCAUAUGAAAAUAAUAAGCAAUUACUACCAUGCUUUUUAAGAUAAAACACUAUAAUAGUACAAUUACACAUAUUCAAGACAUGCUAUUUUCUGGAGUCCCGGUGUUAAAAAAAAUCAUAUAUCAAGUUAAAAAACUCGAAAUCCAAUUCCGUAAAUUUUCUAUGAAACUAG
rnacentral:lncRNA from 1 species